GAGAGCACAGUACGAUGAAAGUUGUAAGCUGUGUUCGGGGGGAGUUAUUGUCUAUCGUCGGCCUCUAUGGUAGAAUCAGUCGGGGCCCGAGAGGCGGUGGUUUACCCUGU
rnacentral:ncRNA from 1 species